CGGGGUGAGUAAUGCUUGGGAAUCUAGCUUAUGGAGGGGGAUAACUACGGGAAACUGUAGCUAAUACCGCGUAAUAUCGAGAGAUUAAAGUGUGGGACCUUCGGGCCACAUGCCAUAGGAUGAGCCCAAGUGGGAUUAGGUAGUUGGUGAGGUAAAGGCUCACCAAGCCGACGAUCUCUAGCUGGUCUGAGAGGAUGACCAGCCACACUGGGACUGAGACACGGCCCAG
rnacentral:rRNA from 1 species